rnacentral:tRNA from 1 species
GCGCUGGUAGCUCAGCUGGAUAGAGUACUUGACUACGAAUCAAGGGGUCGGGGGUUCGAGUCCCUUCCAGCGCACCA